GACAGAGGGUGCAAACGUUGCUCGGAAUUACUGGGCGUAAAGCGCGUGUAGGCGGACUGGUAAGUCGGACGUGAAAUCCCUGGGCUCAACCCAGGAACUGCAUCCGAAACUAUCAGUCUGGAGUGGUGGAGAGGGAAGCAGAAUUCCUGGUGUAGAGGUGAAAUUCGUAGAUAUCAGGAGGAACACCGGUGGCGAAGGCGGCUUCCUGGACACUAACUGACGCUGAGACGCGAAAGCGUGGGGAGCGAACAGG
rnacentral:rRNA from 1 species